rnacentral:rRNA from 1 species
GACGAACGCUGGCGGCGUGCUUAACACAUGCAAGUCGAACGGUAAGGCCCUUCGGGGUACACGAGUGGCGAACGGGUGAGUAACACGUGGGUGAUCUGCCCUGCACUUCGGGAUAAGCCUGGGAAACUGGGUCGAAUACCGGAUAGGACCCUGGGAUGCAUUCUCUGGGGGGGAAAGCUUUUGCGGUGGGGGAUGGGCCCGCGGCCUAUCAGCUUGUGGGUGGGGUGAUGGCCUAACAAGGGGACGACGGGUAGCCGGCCUGAGAGGGUGACCGGCCACACUGGGACUGAGAUACGGCCCAGACUCCUACGGGAGGCAGCAGUGGGGAAUAUUGCACAAUGGGCGCAAGCCUGAUGCAGCGACGCCGCGUGAGGCAUGACGGCCUUCGGGUUGUAAACCUCUUUCAGCACCGACGAAGCGCAAGUGACGGUAGGUGCAGAAGAAGGACCGGCCAACUACGUGCCAGCCGCCGCCGUAA